GAUUCUGGCUCAGGGUGAACGCUGGCGGCGUGCCUAAUACAUGCAAGUCGAGCGAGAAUCAGUGAUGUAGAGAUUCGUCAAAGCGGAUCUGAGGAAAGCGGCGGACGGGUGAGUAACGCGUAGGCAACCUGCCCUUAGCAGAGGGAUAGCCAUUGGAAACGAUGAUUAAAACCUCAUAAUGCUGUUGAGACACAUGUCUCGGCAGCCAAAGAUUUAUCGGCUAAGGAUGGGCCUGCGUCUGAUUAACUAGUUGGUGAGGUAACGGCCCACCAAGGUGACGAUCAGUAGCCGACCUGAGAGGGUGAUCGGCCACAUUGGAACUGAGACACGGUCCAAACUUCUACGGAAGGCAGCAGUAAGGAAUCUUGCACAAUGGGGGAAACCCUGAAUGCAGCAACGCCGCGUGAACGAUGAAGGCCUUAGGGUUGUAAAGUUCUGAUCUGUGGGAAGAAGAAGUGACGGUACCACAGGAGAAAGCCCCGGCUAAAUACGUGCCAGCCGCCGC
rnacentral:rRNA from 1 species